CGUUCCUCAGUACAGUACUCCAGCAGGGCUUAUAUAGACAAACCAAACCCAGCCAAAUCAAACCUCCCCAAAUCCAACAUUUCCUGCAUGUCCAAAAUGGGAGACAGGCGCCUGAGUAACCCGGGGCAACCUCCAUCCCCCUUUUACUUCUCUCUCCCCCGUCUCUCCUCCCUCCCGCCUCCUUUCUCCCUCUCCCCCUCCCUCUCUCCUCUGAAUAAGCAAGCUUUUGCCUCUAAAAGUCACAAGUAAUCCUCGUGUGUGACAGAGAGAGAGAGAGAGAGAGAGAGAGAGAGAGAGAGAGAAACGAGCUGGCGGAGAGGAGCAGAAGGCAGGAGGGGAAAUCUGGCACAACGGCUGGGAGAGGAAACUUGAUGCUUCUGGGCCACCAUUUGCCAGGGCCUCGCUCGAGGACAGAGCACCCGGACCCGCGGCGGCAGCGGCAGCGACGCUACCCACCCUCUUCCCCAACACCCACCUAGCCAGCGAGUCACCGAGCCACCGGCCCUCGGCCUGAUUAUGCAUGGGCUGGAGCUGCCUCCUCUAACCUGUUCUUCUCCGAGCCGGGCAGCCGGCGGUCCUCAGCCGCCCACAGAACAGGAGCCGAAACAACCGUUCUCGAAGGCUACAGCGUUUAUUUUUCUCUUUUGGGGGGUUUUGGCGGUUGUUUCAGGGGCUCGCCAACUGGCCCCUUUAAUUAAAAGCUUCAAUAAAAGGCGAUCGCGCCAGGAAUGCACCCGCUCCUCUUCGCGCAGGAUUUGCAUAUUUUUUUAAUGCCCUAAUUUCCUUGAUGUAUGUAAAUGUAGCCGGACGUAGAGGGAGACAGGGAGCUGACGUCAAUGGACGUGACCUCGCAGCUAAACCUUGAACGUGAAGCCGGGAUGGGGGAAAACACGGAGCGGCAGCCGGCGGAGCCCGAGAGCGCGGGCGGCGGCGGCAGUAGCCGAGCCCAGGCCGGGGUGCCAAGGGACCAGUGCCGGCCCCGGGGGAGGACAAGCCGCCGCCUUCUUUCUGCACCGCGCGGCUCUCAGACUCGCCAGCCUUCCGGCCGCACACGCAGACUCUUGCCCUGAGCUUCCAGCCCCACCACACACACGUUCUUUUGCUUCCCUCAGAAAAGCAACACUCCCCAAAACAACAAACCAAAAUCAACAGAUAAAACAGAUGUUUUAGACCAAUGCUCGGGUAGCUUAUCAGAAAGAAGACUCUGACCACGGAACAUAUAUAUUUUUUGGCUUCUCUCCACAAGAAGAGGAGCGAGAGACCACAGACAACAGCAAAUCACUCCUAAAACACGAUAACUACAAGUGCUCCCUGUAGGGAGAGGUAAAUCGCCCAGCCGACUGGUGAAGUCUUCUGGUUUCCGCACACACCACUUCACUCUCCACUCCGAGGCUCAGGGAGCAAGUGCCUGGCAUGGGGGGUAAAAGUUGGCUUUUUUUUUACUCCUUGGUCUUUUGCGCCCUUCUCCCUCUCCCCAGAAGGGAAGACCCAUUUAAACUAUUUUAGACGCAAUCAACCAAGAAUCACCAUGUGGAAUUGAGCGGCAGUUUUAAAUGUGUUGAGCAGGGGAGAGGAAUGAUGAGAAAAACAUUUUUUUUUUUUUUUUUGGAGACGCCGAAAGAAGCCUGUUUGUGUGCUGCGGCCGUGCUGUGACUUUGGAUCUUGUCUUUCAGCCGGCGCCUCGGUUCCUGCCCAGCUGGAUUUGGGGGGCAGCAUUGCCUGGCGCAGGGAGAUCAAGGAAAUCUUCGCGUUGGAAAAGGGAAUUUUGAUGAGACUGCAAAGAAGCAUAAAAUGAAUAGACAAUCCAACCAACCAAAGACCGGGGGCAGCAGCAGGCCAGCAAGACGGCAUCUUCUCCUUCCCAGCCUAGAAGCCCUGUGAAAUCGAGGAUCUUCCCCCUAAAACACAUACACACAAGAUAUGUGCAAUCAAGCUGCCACCGCUUGGUAAAAAGCCAUGGUGCCUAACCAAAAAGGAUCAGGAACAGAUCCUUGAAUCAGCUGUCACUUCUAUAGAAUGGGAUUUUUUUUUCCUUCCUCCUUAACCUGCGCUGGAAAUUGCCGUUGGCUUUAUACAUCUCUAUAGAGAGAGGCUAAAGAGUCUUGCGUGAGAAAGAAGCAAUUUACAAUGCAAAUAGAGGCCUGUGAAGGGACGGAUGCUGCUGCUCACUCGUAACAGCUUGCUGCACCUUAAUAGCUGGUUUUAUUUUCUGAUAUUAAUAGAUGAAUUGUUGGCUAACGCUGCCGGAGAUUACUUGCUGAAAGGAAAAAGAAAAGUUCGGAAUAAACUCUGAAGGCAACAGAUCUCGUUUGGAUGUUUUAGCCGCGCACACACACAAACAGAAACCAGGUCAUAUUUACAUAAAAGGAGGAAUCUUAAGCGCGGCAAGUAUCCUGGACGACCACUCUUCGGUACUGCCAGAAAGGAUCAGGACCUGGAGUCUGGCAAGAGGAAGACAGAGGCCUGUGUGGGAAGCGAGUUGUUAUCUUUGGUUAUCUAGCUGUAUGAGUGUAUUGGUCUUCAUAAAGCUAGAUAACCGAAAGUAAAAACUCCUUCAAGAUCGCCGGGGAGCGUGUGAGAAUGAAAGACUACAGCCGAGAGACAGUAAAAACCAGAAAGGUCAGGAAUACUUAUUGAAUCUAACUUUGUUUUUGUUUUGUUUUUUUCCUUAUGAUUAAAGGUGGGAUGAGAGAAAAUUAAAUGACACACACAUGCUAAAAUAUCAAGGUUCCAGAUAUGUCUUGAGAGGGGUUGUUGCAGCUGCAAAGGAGAAGUGUAUAGUGAUAAUGAGUAAAGAUGCAUGUGCAGUUUGUUCUAUUUUAAGGCAAAAGUUAUAUCAGGGAUUUUUUUCUUAGAAAGGUGUUGCAGAGAUGUCUGGUACCUAGUUUAAAAAUGAUUCCAUAAUAUGUAGACUUGGGCAGUUCCUUUGGGAGGCACCUCCCUCUCAAAAUUUGAAGAUUGUGCUUGGAAAUUACUUUACAUGUAUUUGGGCUGUAUGUCAAUUUGUACGAAAUUAGACUUUCAGAAAAGUUUAUACUGGAAGGUUAAUAAUUUGUAUCUACUGAGGACUUAGAGCUAGCAGGCAAAAUGAAAAAAAAAAAAAAAAAAGCAAGGGCUGAUUUUUAUUCUUCUAUUCAAAAUACAAGGACAGAUGCUUCUCUGUUCCAAGAGGGUUUCCUUGAGGAAGCUACUGAAGCAGAAAGACAUGAUGGAGACGAGAUCGCCUCCCCUCUUGUCAAAGUGUUAAAAAAAUGUUCUGUCUUACUCUGCGCCUAGCAUUGGAAAUGAAAGUGACAUUUACGCCACAACCCACGUGUGCGCCUCCUCUCUUUUUGUUUAAGGAUGAUCAGGUCUAUCCAGGAAACAGCUCUGGCAUCCCAAACUGAAAUAAUUAGGACGUAUAUAGACCUGACAAAAAUGGAAAGGGGGUGGGGAAUCUGAGGGUCUGUCUUGCCUAAUUGAUUCCGCUAAACGGAAUGCAGGAGAUGUGAACGGCAGGACGCUCCGAUUCCCACGCUCGGGGGCAAGUGAUAAAGCGGGGCCGGGCAGCCUAUGACAGACAGCCCUGUUGGGGGGUGGGGGUAUGAAAAAAACAUCAAGUGCACACACCAUACUCAUCUCCAUCGCUUAAGAAAGUAAAGGCAUUUCCCACCCACAGCCAUCUGCAGCUUCCCAAAUGGCAGCACCAACUGGUCUGUAGCUGCUACAUAGUCUGCUUCUGUUAAUUUUUUAACCACUGUUUAAUCUGGCCAUAAUUAAGUUUGGCUUUCUUCGUUGUUUGAGAUUUUCAGAAUUCAAGGCAAGCUAGUAGAAAGCAAUUCCAAGAAAGUCCCAUGACUGCCUGCCCCUAAUGUCAAAAUCUCAGUCCAUGAGAUUAUGGCCUUGUGACCACAUUUUUGCUUUUGUUUUGGGUGGGCAAAUGUGUAUAGAGAUAAAAUACAUAUCUCUAUAUAACAGUCGUUAUUAUAAUUUCAUGAGGCUUUUUACCUCUUAACAUGAUACAUCUAGGAACUUGGUCUAAUUGUGCUAGUAGAUAUACACUAGAAGUAAAACUAUAAAGUCAUUAGCCUGUAGAAAGUUGAUUAUGAUAACAAUAUGAUAAAAAGUUUGUUUUGGAAUAGUCUCAGCUAGAUGGGUCUAAAUAGCCAUUUUAAUGUAAUCUAAAAAUAACACUAUGCCUAGCAGAAACUUUGGCGCUUUGGAGGUCCCCAUUGUCGCCUUUUCAUAAAAGUCCUUAAGUUUUCCAUAUGUCACCAAGCAAACAUUUGUAUAGGCAUUUACACAGAAAUAUAACCAUUGCAAUUAGAAAAUAUCCAAAAUAGCCUGUUAUCUUCCACGUGGCCUAGAUUAUUGACAAUCCCAAAUAUACAAUUUUUCUUUAAAAGUAGUACAAUUUCCUUUGUAGCUUCAAUUCCUUAUAUGACUUCAGACUGGAGAAGCCUGUUAAACCACUGUUAGUUUCAGUUAGAAAGUCUGAGAGACUUUAUACAUAAAUUCUCAAUUUGGCUGCUGUACACGUGCCAGAGUUUUACUACUGUAGUGACCGUUGAGAAGACCCUUGUUUAUUUACAUUUGAAGCACUGUUUGUGCAAACAACCUUUCAUUGUUAAGUGCCUGUAUUCCUUUCAUUUACUUCAUGUCCAGGGGUGCUAUUUACCUAGAACCAUUGUCUACUACAAUUAACAUUUACAUUACAAAGUGUGUGGUUUUCUUUUUCAAGGAGGUUCAAUUAAGGCAAUAAGAUGUUUGCUGGAGAAACCUAUUGUUUACUGAAAGCACUCAAUGAAGUCAAAUUACUGAAGCUUUUGCCUACAUCUUGGUCUUUUAUGUAAAUAUGUUAAAUAUAACAUCUAAGGAAAAUAAACAAUAUUAUAAUUAUGUGUUUGCCAUUGUCAUAUCAAACUUGCUUUGUAUCAUACUAAUGUUACAUAACUUAUCGAUCAAUAAAAAUACAUUUCAAUGUUCACACCGCCGUCCGCGGGCUGAGCUUCAGUGACACCGAAGGGCACUGGCCAACAUGUCAAAACAGUUUUGAUUCCAUGAACCAAAGGGCGCACAAGGUCUAUUGCAAGCUCAGGUGAAGUCGUGGGACUCCAAAGGUAGUGGCUUUCUUGCUGCUGGUCGAUUUGCAUUACAGAGGCCGUUUACUUUCAAUUCCACUUUUACAAAAGUAGUCAAGCUCUGUAUUUCACAGCAGAGAUAGAAGAUAAGGCUCUGCCCACAGUCUCCAGGCUGCAGCAUCUGGUGAGGAAGGGAAGGUGUAUGGCUGCAUUGUUUUUCUCUUGGUGUUCAACUGGAAUAGAGCAGGAAAUUGCUUUGGAGAUGAGGAAACAAACUCUUAUGGAGACCUAAGAGACUGAAGACAUCUGGCGUGGACUACUCUGAUGGUAAAAUUGAAAGUACACCUAAAUUUGCUUUGUUACAGGAUUCUCUUCAGAGGACAAGAGAAGAUGUUACAUUCUCUGCAUGAGGACAAUUCUGCAGCAUCAAAAUCGAAUAAUAUUUGUUUUCUGGCAGCAGAAUUUUGUAUCAUAUUUCUAAAGACAGUAAGCACUUGGGUGGACGUCAAUGAAUACUAAACACUAAUUGAUCUGAUACAGCCGUAUGCACAUACACAGAUAUACAUGGUGGCUUGUAAUGGUUGAAAAAUUACGGUUUGGUUUUAUUAAAAGAUCUGUCACUUUUAGGUCAGAGUGGGAUUUUGGAGGGAUAGUCUCCCACAAUAGAAAACUACCCUGACAACAGUGGUGUUUUGAGGUUGUUUGUUGUUUGGCUUCUUGAUGAUGCUUAGCUAAGGAGACACUUCCUUUCAGAUUCUGUCUUCCAAACCCCAGGGCUCUGUUCUGGGCAGUUCAGCCUAAUGGAAUUAAGCCUGACAUGUUUCAACUCUAUUUCUUGAUAAAAUAAACAUAAAACAAUGGUUUAGAUUUCGAAUAAAACUCUUGAAGCAUGGGGGACUCAUUGCUUCCAGCUGUUCGUGGACCAAUACUAGAUGCCAGCAAUAGAGAAAUCACUGCAGUUCCCCAAAGGAAAAAAGUCACGUGUUCAUGAUGAUCAAACACAGCUGUUUGAUUGGUGUUAAAAUGGAUCUGCCUGAUAAGACCUGGAACUGAGAACCCAAACAGAGCCUUAAGGUAAGCUCCCAAGGGAAGUGCUGGCAGUAGAUAUUCAGAGGGAUGACACAUGCUUCAUACAGUAAGUGCUUC
rnacentral:lncRNA from 1 species